UCUCCUAGCUCCCUGCCGUCCCUCUGGGCACAGUGUGUUCCUGGAUCCUCUCAACAAGCCUCCUCUCCUCUCCUGGCUCCCGGGCGCCGUCUCCCGCGGUUCCUCACUCUCUGGCCUAUCGGACAGAGGUGGACCUCUCCUCCACCACCCUCUCUCAGUUGUCCGAGGUAGCUCACCUGACCCUCCACAUCCUGGGCCCCGGUUUCUAGAUCUCUCCUGGUUUCUCCAGGUCACACACGGCAACUGUUCUGCUACUCUCUGUGACCCCUCCAGCCGGCCUGCGUUGUCUCCUCUGCUGUGUGCGCCCUUCUCAGUCUCCCAUCCGCUGCUCAAGCCAGUUGAGCCGUCUCUGCCUCAGACAUACUGUCACACACUGUCCACAUGUCCAGCCUCCAAAGCUCCUAUCCUCCCAGCUCCCCCCAGUGUAACCUUUCCUAUUCCAUUCAGAUCGUUUCACACUCCUCUGACACAUUCGAGGGGAACCUUUCCUGACUCUCUGCCUUCAUCCCUUCACCACACUCCUGAUACCUUUAGCCUCGCCCUGGGCUGCCACCCCUCCCUACCCCCAGCCUCCCUCUGCACUGAGCCCUGGGCCUGCUGCCGCCCUCCUCCUCCUCCCUCCUAGCAGCCACCUCUCCCCAGACGCUCUCCUGCACUGACCUCUCCCACCCACUUCGAGCUUUACAUCAGUGUGGACGUCCCCUCUGGUGCUCUCUGCCCGCGUACAUACAACCCCUCUUCCUUUCAUUCUCCACUUGCAUGCCUGGGCUUCGUAUCUCAAGCAUCCUGAGCUCUGGGACCACCAAGUUGGCAAUUCACUCUUGAACCAUUAAC
rnacentral:lncRNA from 1 species